AUGCCUAAAUCUAAAGAGUAAGGAAAAUAAUGGCUGAGGAGAAAUACCGAGGCCGCCAAGAAUAACUCUUGGGAAAAUUUUUAUAGGCCAAAGGUCGUCCCUGAGUGUCAGCUUACUUUGUUGGCCUCUUGGUGUUAUGAUCUUAAAGGCUU
rnacentral:snRNA from 12 species